CAGCAAGGAAUAUUGCACAAUGGGCGAAAGCCUGAUGCAGCGACGCCGCGUGAGGGAUGAAGGCCUCCGGGUCGUAAACCUCUUUCAGGAGGGACGAAGCGCAAGUGACGGUACCUCCAGAAGAAGCCCCGGCCAACUACGUGCCAGCAGCCGCGGUAAUACGUAGGGGGCAAGCGUUGUCCGGAUUCAUUGGGCGUAAAGAGCUCGUAGGCGGCUCAGUAAGUCGGCCGUGAAAUCCCGGAGCUCAACUCCGGGAGGCCGGUCGAAACUGCUGUGGCUAGGGUCCGGUAGAGGAGAGUGGAAUUCCCGGUGUAGCGGUGAAAUGCGCAGAUAUCGGGAGGAACACCCGUAGCGAAGG
rnacentral:rRNA from 1 species